UACGGAGGGUGCGAGCGUUAAUCGGAAUUACUGGGCGUAAAGGGCGCGUAGGCGGUGGGUUACGUCUGCCAUGAAAUCCCCGGGCUCAACCUGGGAAUGGCGGUUGAAACGGGCGGACUAGAGUAUGGGAGAGGGUGGUGGAAUUCCAGGUGUAGAGGUGAAAUGCGUAGAUAUUUGGAAGAACACCAGUGGCGAAGGCGGUUAACUGGACCGAUACUGACGCUGAGGUGCGAAAGCGUGGGGAGCAAACAGG
rnacentral:rRNA from 1 species